rnacentral:lncRNA from 1 species
CUAGUGGUAGCAGGAGGGCCGUGACAGGACUCAGGGGAGCCCAGCCUUCAUGGGAAGCUUGUUAGCACCCAGGCUGGGAUGCGGGUGGGUUGGCUCGCGAGGAGGGACAGGGAGACCCCUUCUCGUAGAGGCCUGCCGAUAAGGGGUCAGAGCUGGUUUGAGGUCAGAGCUGCCUGCUGUUGGUGUGGGCAGUGGUGCCCCACAGCUUCAGAAGGACACCAUGGGCAAGGCAGGGCAGGGUGAGGCGAGCUCGUGGUCCAAUGCCGUGCCAGGAGUUCUUGUUUCCUGUAACUGCCUCCUUUGCAGUGGCAGUAGCAAAGGAAAAUCUGGCUGAAGGUGAAUCAUCGUUAUUACAGUGGGGUCCUGAAUUCAUGAGCCAGCCCCUUAAGAGCACAGAGCUCAGAUUCCAAGGCAUCUCACAAGACUUUUUACAGUUUUGGCAUACUUUACAGAUGGAAGGAUGAAGGCAUUAAGGGUGAAGUGAGUGAUUCAAGGUCAUGAAAUGAACCAGUUGCAAUACAGGAAAGACUGCAAGUUUGAUACAUUCUUCUCGUGGAUAUACCACUUAUAAAUUUUUUUAUUUGUAUUUUUUAUAAAUGACCAUUCAUUAUUUUGUAAGGAACCACUGAAACAUUGCAGGCUGUUUGUCUUGUUGAUGCAGUUUUGCCUUCCUUUUCCUUGAAGUUAGGCUUUUGUGUGUUGUAAUGAUGAAUAUGAUGAAUUCUACAUUUUCACCUCUUUAUACAAAAUGUACUCAAAAUUUCCGGCACAACUGCUUUUAACUUCCUGUGAAAGAAUAUUUUUUAUUGUACCUUUCUAGUAUUGAUAGGUGCUUCAGCCAUUUUUCACUGUGCUUGGCCAGGAUAUAUCUGGAAGAACAAAAAGUGAUUACAGAUCCUAAGAUACAGUUUCCAGAAGUCUGAUCAAGAAAGGGGUUAAAAGUGAGGCAACCUUAUCUCUUACUUCAGCGGAAGUAUAGUUGUUGAUUUGAAGCUCUCUGUAAAUGAUUGUUGGAGAUCUGUCAUGUGUAGCAGUGCAUUGAAAAAGCAUACCACAAACUCUGCUCCCUUCUCAAGAGUGUUUACCUGUCAACAACUCACUUUAAUUGUAGUCUUUUAAGGUAUCAGAAGGCAGGCA